AGGAAAGGCUUGACAACAGAAAAGCCGGCAAGUUCAACGAGAAGAAAGACUUCUUGGAUGUCCUGUUGGAGUACCAGGGGGAUGGUAAAGAUGGUCCUGCUACAUUCUCGGAGAAGCAUAUCAACGAUGUUAUCAUGGUAAUUGACCUUAAUUAGUUAAUUAAUCCCUGAUUUGGCUGCUAGCAUUAAAUUACUCCUAUAUACAUACAUACAUAUAUAUAUAUAUUUAUCUUCUUACCUGUACGUAAUUUUUCAUGUUUUCUUGGUCUUCUUUUGGAUAUUAUGGCAUGGGGAAUUUCCUUGUCAGCAACGCUAAUUUCCAGUGCAAGUAACAUCGGGUGCUUUUUGCUCAACUAAUAUUAUCUCUUUUUUUUUUUUGGGGGUGGG
rnacentral:lncRNA from 1 species